rnacentral:rRNA from 1 species
UGGGGAAUAUUGCACAAUGGGCGCAAGCCUGAUGCAGCCAUGCCGCGUGUAUGAAGAAGGCCUUCGGGUUGUAAAGCACUUUCAGCGGGGAGGAAGGCGAUAAGGUUAAUAACCUUGUCGAUUGACGUUACCCGCAGAAGAAGCACCGGCUAACUCCGUGCCAGCAGCCGCGGUAAUACGGAGGGUGCAAGCGUUAAUCGGAAUUACUGGGCGUAAAGCGCACGCAGGCGGUCUGUCAAGUCGGAUGUGAAAUCCCCGGGCUUAACCCGGGAAUUGCAUCUGAUACUGGUCAGCUAGAGUCUUGUAGAGGGGGGUAGAAUUCCAUGUGUAGCGGUGAAAUGCGUAGAGAUGUGGAGGAAUACCGGUGGCGAAGGCGGCCCCCUGGACAAAGACUGACGCUCAGGUGCGAAAGCGUGGGGAGCAAACAGG